rnacentral:pre_miRNA from 1 species
AAACAAAGUACUAGAGCUUUUUGUUUUCCCGCUUACUUAUUUGUUUCGAUGAAAUGUACACCACAUUUCAUCGAAACAAAUAAGUAAGCGGGAAAACAAAAAACCUUGUUU